rnacentral:piRNA from 1 species
UCUUCACAGAGAAGACAAGGCUGGAGCCUA